rnacentral:rRNA from 1 species
GACGUAGGGCGCGAGCGUUGUCCGGAUUUAUUGGGCGUAAAGAGCUCGUAGGCGGUUGGGUAAGUCGGGUGUGAAAACUCCAGCUCAACUUGGAGACGCCACCCGAUACUGCUCUGACUUGAGUUCGGUAGGGGGAGUGGGGAAUUCCUGGUGUAGCGGUGAAAUGCGCGGAUAUCAGGAGGAACACCGAUGGCGAAGGCAGGUCUCUGGGCAUUAACUGACGCUGAGGAGCGAAAGCAUGGGGAGCGAACAGG